rnacentral:tRNA from 3 species
UAUGGCAGAUUAGUGCAAUGA